rnacentral:rRNA from 1 species
UACGUAGGGGGCUAGCGUUGUCCGGAAUCAUUGGGCGUAAAGCGCGCGUAGGCGGCCCGGUAAGUCCGCUCUGAAAGUCCAGGGCUCAACCCUGGAAAGCGGGUGGAUACUGCCGGGCUAGAAUCCGGAAGAGGCGAGUGGAAUUCCUGGUGUAGCGGUGAAAUGCUUAGAUAUCGUCAAGAACACCGAUAGCGAAGGCAGCUUACUAGACUGUAACUGACGCUGAGGCACGAAAGUGUGGGGAUCAAACAGG